UGAUUGGCUUAUCCGAUUUCCUGGGCCACCCUUCUUACUUCAUCGCUUACACGGAAGGAAACGCAGCUGAGAGGGAGAGAGGAAGAGAAAGAGAUAGAAAGAGAAAGAGAGAGCAAUGUCCGGCCUCGUUAAUUGUUUCACGGCCUUCUCCUCUCCAAGGAAAUCUUGGGUUGUAUUCAAGAUCAACCGUGCGGAAAAUGCAUCCUACACAACAAUUCGUCAGCGGAGAACGAAUAUUAGAGCUGAAGUGAGUUUCGUGGAUGGUGAAGAGGCAAAAAGAUUGAUUGUGGAAGAGGGUUAUACAGUCUUGGAUGUUCGAGACAGGACUCAGUAUGAUCGAGCGCAUAUCAAGUCAUGUUAUCACACGCCCCUCUUUAUCGAGAACAAGGACAAUGACAUUGGCACAAUUAUCAAGCGUACUGUACACAACAACUUCUCAGGAUUGUUCUUCGGGUUGCCAUUCACUAAACUCAAUCCAGAUUUUGUUAAAUCGGUGAAAGGGCAAUUCUCAUCCGACAGUAAAUUGUUGCUUGUCUGUCAGGAAGGAUUGAGGUCUACUGCAGCUGCUAAUAAACUAGAGCAAGAAGGUUUCCAAAAUCUUUCAUGCGUUACAUCAGGCCUUCAAUCUGUAAAACCAGGAACAUUCGAGUCCGUUGGUUCUACUGAGCUGCAAAACGCGGGCAAGGCAGGGCUUGUGACUGUCCAAGGCAAGAUCUCAGCUAUAUUAGGAACCGUACUAAUCUGUGCAUAUCUUUUUAUAACCUUCUUCCCAGAACAAGCAGAAAAGCUACUCGAGAUGAGCCCUGCAAGCUAGCUCUUGGGCGGAUGGAAAUUUUUGCAGUUGCUCUCUCUGUUGGAUGCUCUCAUAGGAAACAGCAGUGAUUGGCUGCCCACAACACAGAAAUUUGAUAGCAUAUGGAAGAGAGACUACCAAAGACAGAAUGGAAAUGCAUCCGCAAGCUAGUCUGAAGGUCUAAAAAAAUCCAGUCCCACGGUCAAGAAUGUUGGAAUAAAGGAGAUUCAGAUUAGUUCAUCUCAGUCAUAUUUUGUUAGUGUAAAUUCAUUGGAGAGUUUGUACACACAUUCCUCUUGAGUUGAACUGUAACAUUAGUAUUGGUGUGUUUUGAUUUUCA